rnacentral:rRNA from 1 species
GAUGAACGCUGGCGGCGUGCCUAAUACAUGCCAGUCGAGCGAACGGACGAGAAGCUUGCUUUUCUGAUGUUAGCGGCGGACGGGUGAGUAACACGUGGAUAACCUACCUAUAAGACUGGGAUAACUUCGGGAAACCGGAGCUAAUACCGGAUAAUAUUUUGAACCGCAUGGUUCAAAAGUGAGAGACGGUCUUGCUGUCACUUAUAGAUGGAUCCGCGCUGCAUUAGCUAGUUGGUAAGGUAACGGCUUACCAAGGCAACGAUGCAUAGCCGACCUGAGAGGGUGAUCGGCCACACUGGAACUGAGACACGGUCCAGACUCCUACGGGAGGCAGCAGUAGGGAAUCUUCCGCAAUGGGCGAAAGCCUGACGGAGCAACGCCGCGUGAGUGAUGAAGGUCUUCGGAUCGUAAAACUCUGUUAUUAGGGAAGAACAUAUGUGUAAGUAACUGUGCACAUCUUGACGGUACCUAAUCAGAAAGCCACGGCUAACUACGUG